GGCUGCAUAGUGUAAUGACUAGCACAUUCCAUGGAAAUUUACAUUUGAUUUUAAGGAAAGAUGUCGGUUCAAAUCCGACUGCGGCCC